rnacentral:rRNA from 1 species
CCUACGGGUGGCAGCAGUGGGGAAUUGUUCGCAAUGGGCGCAAGCCUGACGACGCAACGCCGCGUGGAGGACGAAGGUCUUCGGAUUGUAAACUCCUGUUGCUCGGGACGAAAUGCUUCGACCUAAUACGUCGAAGUUUGACGGUACCGAGUGAGGAAGCCCCGGCUAACUCUGUGCCAGCAGCCGCGGUAAUACAGAGGGGGCAAGCGUUGUUCGGAAUUACUGGGCGUAAAGGGCGCGUAGGCGGCCUGUUAAGUCGAACGUGAAAUCCCCGG